rnacentral:rRNA from 1 species
CCCGCACAAGCGGUGGAGUAUGUGGUUUAAUUUCGAUGCAACGCGAAGAACCUUACCUGGUCUUGACAUCCCGGAGACCCUUAGGAAACUAGGGGGUGCUUCCAUCUGGAAGAAUCUGGAGACAGGUGCUGCAUGGCCGUCGUCAGCUCGUGUCGUGAGAUGUUGGGUUAAGUCCCGCAACGAGCGCAACCCUUGCCUUUAGUUGCCAGCAGUUCGGCUGGGCACUCUAAAGGGACUGCCGGUGUUAAACCGGAGGAAGGUGGGGAUGACGUCAAGUCCUCAUGGCCUUUAUGACCAGGGCUACACACGUACUACAAUGGCCGAUACAAAGGGCAGCGACACUGCGAGGUGAAGCCAAUCCCGUAAAAUCGGUCUCAGUCCGGAUUGGAGUCUGCAACUCGACUCCAUGAAGUUGGAAUCGCUAGUAAUCGUGGAUCAGCAUGCCACGGUGAAUACGUUCCCGGGCCUU